CUCCCCAGGGAAUUUGGACUCUCCAAACCAAGCUGCUGAUAUGACUCUCCUAAGACAUGCAGACAGGAGCCUAGCAUAACUGUCUCCUGAAAGGCUUCAUCCAGCAGCUGAUGGGAACAGAUGCAGAGACCCAUAGUCAAGCAUCAGGAGUUCUGGGAGUCUCGUGGAUGAGUCGGGGAUAGGAUUGAAGGAGCCGGAUGGGUCAAGCACACCAUAAGAAGACCUACAGAGUCAACUAACCUGGGUCCAUCGGGCCUCCCAGAGACUGAACCACCACCCGAAGAGCGUGCAGGGGCUAGACCUAAGCCCUACACAUUUGUAGCAGAUAAAUAGCUUGGCCUUCAUUUGAGUCCCCUAACAACUUGAGAGGGGUUAUCUCUGACUCUGUUGCCUGUCACUGGAUCCCAUUCCCCUAACUGGGCUGCCGUGGAUGGCCUCUGUGAGAAAGGAUGUGCUUAGUCUUAUUGUGACUUAAUAACCCAGGAAAGGGCAGCACCCAAGAGAAGGGGGUAAUGGGAGGAGGGAUUUGUGAGGGUGGGACUGGGAAGG
rnacentral:lncRNA from 1 species